rfam:Aspergillus aculeatus ATCC 16872 unplaced genomic scaffold ASPACscaffold_13, whole genome shotgun sequence.
GGCAAGAUGGCCGAGUGGUUUAAGGCGUCAGAUUUAAGUAAUUGACCUCUGAUCUUCGAAAGAAGGCGCGGGUUCGAACCCCGUUCUUGCCA